rnacentral:ncRNA from 1 species
ACAAAGUUUUAUUCUUGCUUAAUUACUUAUUGUAAUUUAGUAUUAUAUGUAAAUUUUUGUGUCUAAAAUUUUCUUGAUGGGAAGUUUAAUUUUUUAUGACAGUAAUAAAUAUUAAAUAAUAAAGGGGACUUUGAUUUGGUUAAUUUUAUUAAUAUUGAUUAAAUAUGUGCCAGCAGUCGCGGUUAUACAUAGAAUAUAAAUAAGUAUUUUCAGUUAUAUAGUUAAUUUAUUUUGAUUUAUCUUAAAUUGAUUAUUUUUGGGUAAAAUUUGAAUUUUCAUUUUUGUUUUAAGUAGAAUAAAUGAGGCUAUGAAAUCUAAAUUAUUUAAACUAGGAUUAGAUACCCUAUUAUUUUAGAUUUAAAAAGUUUAAUUUGAGUAGUAUUAGUUAUGGUCUUGAAACUUAAAGAAUUUGGCGGUAUUUUAGUCUGGUUAGAGGAAUCUGUUCCAUUAUCGAUAAUCCACGUUGGACCUUACCCAAUAUUAUUUAAUAUGUAUAUCGCCGUUUAUUUGAAGAUCUUUUCAGGGUUAAUUUUCUUUAAGUUAAAAUUGACUUUAUUUCAGGUCAAGGUGCAGUUGAUGAUUGGGUGGAAAUGGAUUACAAUAUUUGUGAAGUAUACGGAUUAUAGUUUGAAAAUGCUUUAUGAAGGGGGAUUUAAUAGUAAUUAAUAAUUAGAAUUAUUAUUGUGAUUUUAGCUCUAAAAUGUGCACACAUCGCCCGUCACUCUCGUUAUUAAGAUGAGAUAAGUCGUAACAAAGUAGGUGUACCGGAAGGUGUAGCUAGAUUGAU